ACUCCGAGGGGAUGCAGCAGCAAUUCAUGUUUUGAAGUGCUUUAAACGGUUCAAAACGUGAGGCGCUGCUAUACCCCCUCGAGAGGAAGUUGGAAGAGGGAGUUCUGCUGGACGUGCGUUCCUACGGGGCGCUGGCUGCCAAGGAGAACUCUGGAGCAGAAGGAGGCCCUGCAGCAGCUGGCGCCCACCCUCCGAGAGGACCACGCCAGCACCAUCCGGCUCCCUCCAGCGGGACCCAGGAUUUUUUGAAGGUAUCCAGCUUCUCCAGUUAGCAGUACUGAUUUUUUCCCCCCAACAAAGGAACACUACAUCAACACCCUUGGCCGGGAUCUGGACACAGAAGACUCCUGUUUCAAGAAAACACAAUCAUCUCUCAAAUCCUGUAAUUUAUAUGCAUUUUAAACUCACUAGGUAUUAAAAACCACCCAAGUGUCCCACAACAUGGGGUAUAAUAUAAUCAAUCACUCAGUGUAAUAUUAUACAUCCUUUAAAAAUGUUAUUGGAAAAUGUUUUAUGAUCUGUAAGUCGAAAUAACCCUCUCCCACCCUUCCUUUCUCCCUGCUGCUCCCUUAUACCCACACUACUUUGUUCCAAUUGGCAUGUAAACUUGCUUUUCCCGCCAAAUGAGUCAGUCAUGAUGGGAGCGUCAAUUGAUUUGAACAGAUGUGUGUCAAUAUUACUUGGAAAACUAGAUGCCAAUAACCAGGGCCACAAAAAAAAAAAGCAGUGGUUGCAACUCUGUAAAAAUUUAUAUGUGCAUACAGACAAGCACUAUAGUGGAACCCCAAACAGGAAACUAGUUGGAUAUACUCUAGUGCUGGGAGAGUAAAUGACUGUAAGAUGCUUUUGAUUUCCAUUAAUAUGGGCAACUGUCCAAUUAAAAAAAGACCUACUAAGGA